UACGUAGGGUGCGAGCGUUUGUCCGGAAUUACUGGGCGUAAAGAGCUCGUAGGUGGUUUGUCGCGUUGUUCGUGAAAACCGGGGGCUUAACCCUCGGCGUGCGGGCGAUACGGGCAGACUUGAGUACUGCAGGGGAGACUGGAAUUCCUGGUGUAGCGGUGGAAUGCGCAAAUAUCAGGAGGAACACCGAUGGCGAAGGCAGGUCUCUGGGCACUUACUGACGCUGAGGAGCGAAAGCGUGGGGAGCGAACAGG
rnacentral:rRNA from 1 species